rnacentral:rRNA from 1 species
ACGGGAGGCAGCAGUGGGGAAUAUUGGACAAUGGGGGAAACCCUGAUCCUGCGACGUCGCGUGAGUGAAGAAGUAUUUCGGUAUGUAAAGCUCUAUCAGCAAGGAAGAAAAUGACGGUACUUGACUAAGAAGCCCCGGCUAACUACGUGCCAGCAGCCGUGGUAAUACGUAGGGGGCAAGCGUUAUCCGGAUUUACUGGGUGUAAAGGGAGUGUAGUUGGUUUGGCAAGCCAGAUGUGAAAGCCCGGGGCUCAACCCCGCGGACUGCAUUUGGAACUGUUAAACUUGAGUGCAGGAGAGGAAAGUGGAAUUCCUAGUGGAGCGGUGAAAUGCGUAGAUAUUAGGAGGAACACCAGUGGCGAAGGAGGCUUUCUGGACUGUAACUGACACUGAGGCUCGAAAGCGUGGGGAGCAAACAGGAUUAGGUACCCUGGUA